rnacentral:rRNA from 1 species
GAUGAACGCUGGCGGCGUGCUUAACACAUGCAAGUCGAACGGGAGUAUUGAAGAAGCUUGCUUUAGAGAUACUUUAGUGGCGGACGGGUGAGUAACGCGUGAGGAGCUGUCCUAUGCAGGGGGACAACAGCUGGAAACGGCUGCUAAUACCCCAUAAGCCGAGAGGUAAAAGGAUCAAUCCGGCAGAGGAGGUACUCGCGUCCUAUCAGCUAGUAGGUGAGGUAACGGCUCACCUAGGCGAAGACGGGUAGCCGGCCUGAGAGGGCGAACGGCCACACUGGAACUGAGAUACGGUCCAGACUCCUACGGGAGGCAGCAGUGGGGAAUAUUGGGCAAUGGGGGAAACCCUGACCCAGCGACGCCGCGUGGGUGAAGAAAUCCUUCGGGAUGUAAAGCCCUGUUGUAUGGGAAGAGCGGAAGACGGUACCAUACGAGGAAGCCCCGGCAAACUACGUGCCAGCAGCCGCGGUAAGCACGAGAGUA